AGGAAUAUUGGUCAAUGGCCGGAAGGCUGAACCAGCCAAGUCGCGUGAGGGAAUAAGGCCCUACGGGUCGUAAACCUCUUUUGUCAGGGAGCAAGGCCGCCCACGUGUGGACGGAAGGAGAGUACCUGGAGAAAAAGCAUCGGCUAACUCCGUGCCAACAGCCGCGGUAAUACGGAGGAUGCGAGCGUUAUCCGGAUUUAUUGGGUUUAAAGGGUGCGUAGGCGGCCUGCCAAGUCAGCGGUAAAAUUGCGGGGCUCAACCCCGUACAGCCGUUGAAACUGCCGGGCUCGAGUGGGCGAGAAGUAUGCGGAAUGCGUGGUGUAGCGGUGAAAUGCAUAGAUAUCACGCAGAACCCCGAUUGCGAAGGCAGCAUACCGGCGCCCUACUGACGCUGAGGCACGAAAGUGCGGGGAUCAAACA
rnacentral:rRNA from 1 species